UCCUCGAUGGUCUAGUGGUCAUGAUUUCCGCUUGUCAUCAACCGAUCUUGAUUGCGAGCGCGGGAGACCAGGGUUCGAUUCCCUGUCGGGGAG
rfam:Cladophialophora immunda strain CBS 83496 unplaced genomic scaffold supercont1.5, whole genome shotgun sequence.